UUUAUAACUUUCUAAGUGACUAAUUUACUUUCACUAACUGUGUAUUUUAAUAUUUCUACUUUCACUGUGGUGGAUUCAUUAUUGAGUUGUUUCUUUCACUUGUGAUACUUGUUUCUUCCUGGCAUAAGAGAUGUCAUGCCGCUUGAAAAUGUGUUUUCUACUUUGUUUCAGUAGUUUAGUGUGUCGAGUGUCAGUUGUCAGUUUCUGAGUCGAUCGCUUUUCCUUCUCCCUUUUUGCUAAGACAACGUCUAGCACGGAGCAGACACACAGCGGAGCCAAUCCGCAGCCGUUCCGCAUCCAGUGGAAUUGGGGAUCUCUAACAGACAAAGACAACAGGGGAAGAAGGAAGAGCAAGACAAAGGACCAAGGUGAUGACUGACACCAUGACGUAAUGGUUCUCACCUCAGCACCAUGGGACAGACUCCUUUUCCUGAGGGCCGGAGAGGGCUCGGUUGAUCGCAGAGGAGUCAGACCUCCGUUCUUCAACUGCUCCACUGAGGGCGACUUUGGUACAGUCCACACAGGAGCACCAUCUGAAAAAUGACAAGAUUAGUUAACAACAAAGUUAACAACAGUGACAAGAACAUCCUUGGGAUUUGCCAUUACUUGAUUUGUACUCUUGAUGUGUGUUUAUUAAUGCUCAGUAUUGGGUUGGAUGAAAUUGAUAAUAAGAAUGAAAGAGGGAACAUGAAGACAACUCAUA